GGUUAAGCGACUAAGCGUACACGGUGGAUGCCCUGGCAGUCAGAGGCGAUGAAGGACGUGCUAAUCUGCGAUAAGCGUCGGUAAGGUGAUAUGAACCGUUAUAACCGGCGAUUUCCGAAUGGGGAAACCCAGUGUGUUUCGACACACUAUCAUUAACUGAAUCCAUAGGUUAAUGAGGCGAACCGGGGGAACUGAAACAUCUAAGUACCCCGAGGAAAAGAAAUCAACCGAGAUUCCCCCAGUAGCGGCGAGCGAACGGGGAGCAGCCCAGAGCCUGAAUCAGUGUGUGUGUUAGUGGAAGCGUCUGGAAAGGCGCGCGAUACAGGGUGACAGCCCCGUACACAAAAAUGCACAUGCUGUGAGCUCGAUGAGUAGGGCGGGACACGUGGUAUCCUGUCUGAAUAUGGGGGGACCAUCCUCCAAGGCUAAAUACUCCUGACUGACCGAUAGUGAACCAGUACCGUGAGGGAAAGGCGAAAAGAACCCCGGCGAGGGGAGUGAAAAAGAACCUGAAACCGUGUACGUACAAGCAGUGGGAGCCUCUUUAUGGGGUGACUGCGUACCUUUUGUAUAAUGGGUCAGCGACUUAUAUUCUGUAGCAAGGUUAACCGAAUAGGGGAGCCGAAGGGAAACCGAGUCUUAACUGGGCGUUAAGUUGCAGGGUAUAGACCCGAAACCCGGUGAUCUAGCCAUGGGCAGGUUGAAGGUUGGGUAACACUAACUGGAGGACCGAACCGACUAAUGUUGAAAAAUUAGCGGAUGACUUGUGGCUGGGGGUGAAAGGCCAAUCAAACCGGGAGAUAGCUGGUUCUCCCCGAAAGCUAUUUAGGUAGCGCCUCGUGAAUUCAUCUCCGGGGGUAGAGCACUGUUUCGGCAAGGGGGUCAUCCCGACUUACCAACCCGAUGCAAACUGCGAAUACCGGAGAAUGUUAUCACGGGAGACACACGGCGGGUGCUAACGUCCGUCGUGAAGAGGGAAACAACCCAGACCGCCAGCUAAGGUCCCAAAGUCAUGGUUAAGUGGGAAACGAUGUGGGAAGGCCCAGACAGCCAGGAUGUUGGCUUAGAAGCAGCCAUCAUUUAAAGAAAGCGUAAUAGCUCACUGGUCGAGUCGGCCUGCGCGGAAGAUGUAACGGGGCUAAACCAUGCACCGAAGCUGCGGCAGCGACACUAUGUGUUGUUGGGUAGGGGAGCGUUCUGUAAGCCUGUGAAGGUGUACUGUGAGGUAUGCUGGAGGUAUCAGAAGUGCGAAUGCUGACAUAAGUAACGAUAAAGCGGGUGAAAAGCCCGCUCGCCGGAAGACCAAGGGUUCCUGUCCAACGUUAAUCGGGGCAGGGUGAGUCGACCCCUAAGGCGAGGCCGAAAGGCGUAGUCGAUGGGAAACAGGUUAAUAUUCCUGUACUUGGUGUUACUGCGAAGGG
rnacentral:rRNA from 1 species